UGUAUGUAUAUACAUGUAUAUGUGGAUGUAUAUAUAAAAUUAGGUAUCUUAAUCAGUUGCCCAUGAUUCUGCUCAAUUGCCCCAUUCAUCUCAGAAGUACAUAAUUUCUCACUGUUUCACCAGGAUGGUUGCAGCAGGUAACAGUGAGGAAUUUAUAGGUCAUGUAGCUGAGUUUGGUCCUAAAUAAAAGCAGUAGCAGCUGCUGUAAACUUUUUUUUUUCCCUCUAAUACUCGCCAGCUUGGAGUUUUUCUCCAGGAUGUGCCAGAUCUAGAUUGAUUUCUGAAUUUGGCUAAGAUGCCCAAACUUCUACUUCCUAGAAAUCUGCUAUGACGCUCUGGUUUACCAACAAUUUGGUUGAAUAGCUCUCAGUGAUUCCCAUGGAAACUGUACCAUUAUACCAUUAUAUGUGAAGUAUUUAAAGAUGUGUUAAUCUCAGAAGAGCAAGACCUGCUCCACAAGUUCUCAGCUGAGUGGCUGAGUACCCUGCUGAGAGUGGAAGAGGGAAAGGGCUGUCUGCCAGUCAUUUCUAUUAAAUUAUCAUUUACAACAAGGAGGUGAUUUUCCUCUCAGGUGAGGAUUCAGUCCCUAGACAAUGGAAUCAUUCCAUCUCUGUCAAAGAAUCUCCUCAACCAGAACUAACGUCUGGUAUUGUUGUAUAUUUUUCCUAGGUUCAUUUAGAAGCAAUGGUCACUUAGAUGAUUUUGUAAAUGUCAGUGCCACAAAGUGGAUGUAAAAAUAUAACUUUUUGACUUGAAACAACCGAAUUCCACUAAGCUAAUGUACCAAAACUAUGUUCUAACUGGCUACUAAGUUAUAAUAAGAUGAGGGAUGAAUCCCCCACGGGAAAAUGUGAAAAUGAAAACAGAUGAAGAAGAAAAUUAAGCUGAUUAUCUACCCUACCAAGACUCAGUGCUUCUUACCAGUGUUCAGACACACAUCUCCAUAUGUCUAAAAAAAUCUGUGAGAUUAGAAGACUGCGUAAGCAUUACAGACAUGUAUAGAAAUGUAUAGUGCAUGUAUAGAAAUGCGUAUCCACAUACCAAAGGAUAACAAAAUAUCAACAUUUUUCAUGUUUUUUUCCAAGAACAAAAGUAUUUGGUGACUUCAAGUUUCCAGAGAAAAUGCCAACAAUCUCUAAAAAUCUGACCAUGUACUUUAAAAUCAAUUGCAAUUCUUUGAGUAUAUAAGGCUGUGAAUUGACUCACCAAUGCCAUGGGCCAGAACUGUUGCCUUUUUCCCACCUUAUAACAUCUGUGACAAUUAUUUCAGAAAUCAAAAGCAUAAAGUCAAUAACUUUCAAUCAAUUGGAAGCCAGAAAGGAUGAACAUGUCUGAUAUUUUCUGUCUUGUCUUGGUUGCAGCUUCAGUCCUGAAGAGUGGUUGAGAUGGAAUUCAAUCCCAAGUACUCCUGCUAGGUUCCCUCCCCAUUGUGACGGAAAUUACAGCAACUGUCACAAUUUGUUUAACUUUGGUGUUCUUCAGACAGUUACCAACUCUUUUGGUCACUCUGUCAUCCCAGAACCACAGAAUCACAGAAUUGUAAGGCUUGGAUGGGACCUCUGAAGAUCAUCAAGCCAAAGCCUCUGCUAAAGCAGGUUCUCUACAGCAAGCUGCACAGGGAAGCAUCCAGAUGGAGUCACGUCCAAGUCAGACUGAUCAGGAGAUCCUACACUCCUGUGUCUAUCUCCCUUGAGGGAUUUCCUCAGAAUGUCAAGCACAUGUAAGGAUGUUGCAAACGUAAGAAAAAACAUUUUUACUGUGAGCAUGAUUGAAGACCAGAACAGGUGACCUGGAGAUGUAGUAGCAUCUCCAGCCCUGAAGAUCCUCAAAACACAACUCGACAUGGCUCUGAGCAACCUCAGCAAUUUGAUGACACCCUACAGGAGCAAAUUAACUAUCAGAUGAAUACUUUACAGUAAUUUAAGAAGUAUUUUUUCCUUUAUGUAGAUCUGUUAAGUUCAGUGGCAUGAAUCUUGCAGAGCUUCUUCCCACCUACUGACAAGAAGAAAUCUUGGGAAGUCUGAAAUACGUUGUCAGCAGUGGAACAGUGAUGUGGUCUCAAAGAGACUGUGUAGUGUCAAUGUCACGCAGUCUGUAUUGGGAAGCCUCGAUGAUCUCUUCCAAACUAAACUGCCAGAAAUAGAUACCAGCAUGAAAAGUAAUGGUGAACUUCUAUUCAUGAGCACUGGAUUUUCAGUGUGGCAUCAAAGCUUAGCAAUCCUUCAUUUCUCAUUUACUUUGUUUAAAAAACACAAGGAAUCAUAGUGACAAUACUGAUAAGAUCAGUAGGAGGACACAUGCUUCUAUGUGUCCUCCCAAGAUGCUGGACAGCUCUUUGGUCUUCAAUAAGCGUAUGGAUUGUCGACUGCUGGAAGGAAAGCAGUAAAAGCACAUAGCCUGCCUGUGGAAUAUGCUAUUGCCAGAUCAGUGAGCUGGAAUCUAGAGCUGGUUUUCGGGAGGAGACAGGUGAAUUUAUGAUUGGUUUUAAUAUUUGUGUUCAUGCUAAGUACCUAGGGGCAGACACAUAAAAAGGUGGAGUAUCAAAAACCAACUCGCUUGAGUCUAAAAAAUUUACAAAGGGAGCUCACAGCAGGAUGAGUUACAGAGGCAGUUGUUUCCCAUAGUUGCAGGAGCUAUGCCAGCUUCUCCAAGGCAAAGUUCACACUAUUUAUCUUGAAUCAUCAUAUAACUUUCAUGGGGUCUGUGAAGAGAAAGAAAUCCAUUGGAAGGUUUAGUUGCCAGAGAGAAUUGUAUUUGUACUCUCUGGAAAGGGAAAGAGCAGUCUUUAAAUACAAGGGGAUAUAAAACUCAGCAAGACUAGUUGUUAAGUUAAGAGCCUUAAAGUUAGACAUUGCUUUUGGAUAUACCUUUUGAUUGCUGUUUCUACCAACUGGCAUUUUGAUAUAUAAAUGUUUUAUGAUGUUAACAAUAACUGAGAUGUAGCAGAAACAAAUUGUAAAUUGACAGAGACACAUCUCUGGUUCCUGAAAUUACUCAUUCCUUACUGUGUUAGGGUGAACCCUGUAGGAGCCAAUGGACACACUCCCACUGUCUUCAACAGCCUUCAGUCAUCCAAUAAUAUCUGUACAAAUAAACAGCUAUCAAAAAGAGAGGGAAAAAGGAAGGAGUUCUGGGACAAUUAGAGGCUUAAUUUCCCUUGAAUUUCCUCUUUGUGAGUUUUGUCUGAAGCAACCAAUGGCUGGAGUAUUUGGCAAUGCUUUGCUCUGUGUGCAUCUUCUUGGGGAGAUGUUUUCUUUCUAAGACAUGAAACUAAUGUUUCAGCCUUUCCCUUCACCUGAGCACUUAGAGGACACAAGCAUGAAGGAAUCUAGUUACUUGGAUAGUCCUAAUCCUUUGCCACAUUUGGCUAUUACACUGAAAUGUGACUAGAAAAGGACAAAGGAAGAAAGUAACAACAUGGUCACAUGAGCUUCUUUUCUUAAUGAAAUUGAACUGAAAAUAUUCUCCCCGUUCCCUUGCCACAACACACAAAAUGAACUGGAUGAGGGCCAGAGAUAUAGCAGGCUAUCCAAAUCAGCACAGGCAUUCUUAAUAGCAGGAUGAUGUGAAAGAAGAAGCAUGCUGUUUAAAAUCCCACAACAUAGGUUUUGUUAAUACUUUCUUCUUAUCCAGCCAAGCCAGCAUUCUGAUAAGUUGUACUUAGAACUAGCAAGAGUUUAAAAAGGUGUUCUGCUGUGUAUUUUAAUUGCCUUUCUAAGUAUACUGAUCUUAAUUAUUGAAUCAUAGAAUGGCUUGGGCUGGAAGGUACCUCAAGGAUCAUCAAGCUCCAACUCCACAUUUAAUCUUUAUAUUUUGAGAGUAUUUGUUUUCUAAAUGAAGAUUCUUCUCUCAUGGUUGCUGCAGGCUUCUACCUGCUUACUAGCUGGUGUAGUGGACAAUCUUUCUAUCUUCCCUGGUGUCAUCUAAAAAUAAAUCUUUAGAUUUAAACAACAAAAGCAACCCUGUAAGAAGUUCGAAGAUUCAAUUCACUUUACAAUAAGAUGAUAAAGACAAUCCCAUAGCAAAAAGCAUUAAUUUGAAGGUAAUGCAUGAACUCAGCUAUCCAGCAAUGUGCAGUGAUCACAAAAAGGUAACACAUUAGCAUAACCAGUCAUUAACUUCAACCUGUUUUCCUCUCACAGAGAAGAUACUCCCUUUAUAUAAGGUUCAGAUGAGUACUUGUGACAAUCCAGCAGUGUGGUCAUUAAAUGUUAUUUUGUCCCAAUGAGAAACUGAGUUUGAGCAACUAGAAAUACUCCAUUUCUUCUCUCUUUUCUAAAAAAUUUCAACUUCAGUGUGUCCUAGAAAUACUUCAUGCCCUAAAAUUAGAUUAAUGUAAAGGUUAUUAAAAGAGUUUCUUUUACAGAACUAACUGUUCUCAGUACUGUUUAAAAUAGGAAUUUCCAAAAAUAAAAGGCAAACAUGAAAUAGGAAAAAGACAUCUGUACUUCAGAAGUGAAUUUCUAUGAAUCUUCACACUGACACAAUCCAAAUGCUACCUAAAAUUAUAAUUUUAUUACAUUUUUAUUUUUAUGCCACUUAAUUUCCUCAGUUCUAGAAGAGGAAUAGUUCAGCAAGAUGACAAAGGAUUAUUCCAGAUUGUCUAGGGGAGAAAAGAAUAACUGAUGAAAUUUGACUGAGACCUAAGGACCCAUGAUUGAUGUCUUUCUUUAGGCAACAGCAAAUGCAGAAUUUAUGUGGUUCCAAGUUCCAGCAGUUCAGAUCAGAAGGAAGAAUAGAAAGACCCUUUGCCUGCUACAGUAUCAGAAGGGCAAAUAAUCAGCCAGAUUUCUCCUCUCAAAGGAUAUAAUUUCGUUUGAGGGAGGUCUCAUUGCUGAAAAUCACUGCAAAAUCAGAGAUGUGGAACCUGGUCCAGUUUUCAUUAUCUGUAAAUUUGGCUUUCACUUUUUUCUCGCCAUUUAGCAUAUGUCAACUUGCAGAAACCUGCUGUAGAAAUAUGCACUUUGGAGCUAAGCCUUUGAAGUAGGCAGAGUCCUGUUUUUGUAAGAGAAAAUUAGCUACACUCUCCUAGUGACUUCUAAUACUAUAUAAGGAAAACUGGGAAUAUUUUUGAAAUUCUGGAAAAGCUCAUCGGCAGGAGCCUUCUUCUGUCUUGACUUGCUUCUUCUUUUAAAUGAUACCAGAUCUAUGCUAGCUGCUAACAGAAGAUACUCUCAAGUCCUUUGCUUCUGUCUGUCUAGUAUUUAUGGAUGCAUUUAUGACUUAUAGGGUCUUUUUUUAUAUUUUACAUACGGAUCACCUCCUUGUAGCAGUUCUGAGUGCAGCUGUCAUAGCUGUCAUGAGCUUAGCUUACUUUGACACUUAGCACAAUCGUACAUGAUGAUCAUUGAUUGAUAUGAGCAUAUAAAUUUAGUUUUAUUGAGGCUGCUGGAUCAAGCUGCUGGAUAAAAUUAUCCAUAGAAAAAUAAUGCCUCAUUAUUCUCUUCCAGUAGUAAAAAACAUGAAAGCUUAAAAUCAAAAAGGAUCUCUUAUUGGGUGUUUCUAAAAGGCAGUGAUGAAGAACUGGAACUUGUAAUUUCCUAUUGACAGGGAUGCCCUUAAGGUUUAUACAGAGUAUUUCAAAGCAGUAGCAGUUUACACCAUGAUUCAAAUAGCCUGUUUGCCUAGGACAUCCAUUUAAGCAGUGCAAUAUCCGUUUCUGUCUCUGAAAGUGAUUUCUAGCAUGAGUCUUUUUUAAUUUCUAUUAAUGUUACAGAAUGGAGAAGAUUGAUGCUGAUUCACACACUAGCUCAGUUAAUUUUUCUUCAAGUAUGGAUUCUUAUUAGGAAUGUUUUCAUGUAAUGUAAUAAAUCAUGCUCCUACAGUCAAGUCUGUGUUCAUAUAUUCUUCUCUAGCAUCUCCUCCUUAAUAAUAAUUGUCAUAAGAAAUGGAGGAAACAAAUGAAUAUUGGAUGAUUCACUGGUCUCCUGGUAAUUCUGUCCAGAGUGAUACAGGACAGCCUAAGAGCUGAAGAAGAGCAAUUUUUGCUGGUAAAAGAGGGCUAAAUUCGUUGAUAUCCUAGGCUCCAUUUUGCUUUCUAAUACUUUGAAAAGGGGAAGUAAGAAAGAAAAAAUAAAAAAUCUUUUACUGUCAUGUAGAUUUGCUCCUGUCAGCCUUGGCCACAUGUCAGUUUCUUACUCCACUGAUCUCCUGUGACUUUCUUGUUUACCAGCUUUAAUUCAACUUUAUCCUAUGCUAUCCUAUAAAAGAAUUCAACAUAACUCCUCUAAAAUUGAUGUUUUCCUAUUAUCAUGUUGCCUCUACUCUGAAAAUUGUUUUUCUUGUGCAAUUCUCUAUUAUUAAUGGCAGAGACCUCUACAAAGUCAGUAUCUACUAGUUAAUCCCAUGGAAGAAAAGAAAAAGAAAAGAGACAUAGCUCCUCCUUUCUUGGCACAGGCACAUGUUCAGAUUUUGCCACGGUAUUAUUUUGCUCUUUUGAAUUUAUUUUAAUAACACCUUAUCUCUAAUGAAAGAUUCAUUCCAACUUGUUUACAGCUACAGAAGCCAAAUUUCCUGGUCUGUUGCUCUCAUAACUUCAUUCUUCAUCAUUGGCACUACUGUUAGAUUUGCUCUGGUCUUCUAGUGGCAUCUUGGAUUUUAAUGACUUUUUGAUCUAUGCCAGAGAAUAUGCUGACUUCUCAUCUCAUAGCGAAUCCCAUCAGGUCCUGCAGAUGCUGAUCUGAUAUUUGCUUGUUCCACUAAUAAGCCUUGUAGUUUGGAUGUGAUCCUGGCCUUCUAUUCCCACAGCAGUAGUUGCCUUCUGCUAUGUCUGAUCUGAUAUGCUAAUGUAGCUUGUGACUAGCGCAAACCAAAAGAGUGGUGAUUUCCCCUUCAGGGGACAUAAUAGAUUCAUCAAGCACUGCUCAGCAGUGUCUGAUAUAGAUACAUCUGUUCAAUAAAUCAUAUAUCCAGAACCAUCAGUAGGACAGAGGCAUUUUUUUCCUGGAAGUAAGACAUU